AUUGAACGCUGGCGGCAGGCCUAACACAUGCAAGUCGAGCGGAUGAGAAGAGCUUGCUCUUCGAUUCAGCGGCGGACGGGUGAGUAAUGCCUAGGAAUCUGCCUGGUAGUGGGGGACAACGUUUCGAAAGGAACGCUAAUACCGCAUACGUCCUACGGGAGAAAGCAGGGGACCUUCGGGUCUUGCGCUAUCAGAUGAGCCUAGGUCGGAUUAGCUAGUUGGUGAGGUAAUGGCCCACCAAGGCGACGAUCCGUAACUGGUCUGAGAGGAUGAUCAGUCACAAGGGAACUGAGACACGGUCCAGACUCCUACGGGAGGCAGCAGUGGGGAAUAUUGGAAAAGGGGGGAAAGCCUGAUCCAGCCAUGCCGCGUGUGUGAAGAAGGUCUUCGGAUUGUAAAGCACUUUAAGUUGGGAGGAAGGGCAGUAAGUUAUUACCUUGCUGUUUUGACGUUACCGACAGAAUAAGCACCGGCUAACUCUGUGCCAGCCGCCGCGGUAACAC
rnacentral:rRNA from 1 species